CCUACGGGUGGCAGCAGUGAGGAAUAUUGGUCAAUGUGCUUACGCCUGAACCAGCCAAGCCGCGUGAGGGAAGACUGCCCUAUGGGUUGUAAACCUCUUUUGUCAGGGAGCAACGCCGGCUACGUGUCGCCGGACUGAGAGUACCUGAAGAAAAAGCAUCGCCUAACUCCGCGCCAGCAGCCGCGGUAAUACGGAGGAUGCGAGCGUGAUCCGGAUUUAUUGGGUUUAAAGGUUGCGUAGGCGGAAUGCCAAGUCAGCGGUAAACUCUGGGGGCUCAACCUCGCUCCGCCGUUGAAACGGGCGGUCUUGAGUGGGCGAGAAGUAUGCGGAAUGCGUGGUGUAGCGGUGAAAUGCAUAGAUAUCGCGCAGAACUCCGAUUGCGAAGGCAGCAUACCGGCGCCCAACUGACGCUGAGGAACGAAAGCGUGGGUAUCGAACAGGAUUAGAUACCCUUGUAGUC
rnacentral:rRNA from 1 species